CCUACGGGAGGCAGCAGUGGGGAAUAUUGGACAAUGGGGGGAACCCUGAUCCAGCGACGCCGCGUGAGUGAAGAAGUAUUUCGGUAUGUAAAGCUCUAUCAGCAGGGAAGAAAGAAAUGACGGUACCUGACUAAGAAGCCCCGGCUAACUACGGGCCAGCAGCCGCGGUAAUACGUAGGGGGCAAGCGUUAUCCGGAUUUACUGGGUGUAAAGGGAGCGUAGACGGCGAUGCAAGUCUGAAGUGAAAGGCGGGGGCCCAACCCCCGGACUGCUUUGGAAACUGUAUGGCUGGAGUGCAGGAGAGGUAAGUGGAAUUCCUAGUGUAGCGGUGAAAUGCGUAGAGAUUAGGAGGAACACCAGUGGCGAAGGCGGCUUACUGGACUGUAACUGACGUUGAGGCUCGAAAGCGUGGGGAGCAAACAGGAUUAGAUACCCGUGUAGUC
rnacentral:rRNA from 1 species